rnacentral:pre_miRNA from 1 species
GAAGUACUCCCUCCGUUCGGAAUUACUUGUCGCAGAAAUGGAUGUAUCUAGACAUAUUUUAGUUCUAGAUACAUCCAUUUCCGAGACAAGUAAUUCCGAACGGAGGGAGUAGUUG